UUGACCUCGGAUCAGGUAGGAAUACCCGCUGAACUUAAGCAUAUCAAUAAGCGGAGGAAAAGAAACCAACAGGGAUUGCCCUAGUAACGGCGAGUGAAGCGGCAACAGCUCAAAUUUGAAAUCUGGCCUCGGCCCGAGUUGUAAUUUGUAGAGGAAGCUUUUGGCACGGCACCUGCUGAGUCCCCUGGAACGGGGCGCCAUAGAGGGUGAGAGCCCCGUAUAGCAGGACGCCUAGCCUCUGUAAAGCUCCUUCGACGAGUCGAGUAGUUUGGGAAUGCUGCUCAAAAUGGGAGGUAAAUUUCUUCUAAAGCUAAAUACCGGCCAGAGACCGAUAGCGCACAAGUAGAGUGAUCGAAAGAUGAAAAGCACUUUGAAAAGAGGGUUAAAUAGCACGUGAAAUUGUUGAAAGGGAAGCGCUUGUGACCAGACUUGCGCCGGGCUGAUCAUCCGAGGUUCUCCUCGGUGCACUCUGCCCGGCUCAGGCCAGCAUCGGUUCUCGCGGGGGGAUAAAGGCCCUGGGAACGUAGCUCCUCCGGGAGUGUUAUAGCCCGGGGUGUAAUGCCCUCGCGGGGACCGAGGACCGCGCUUCGGCAAGGAUGCUGGCGUAAUGGUCAUCAGCGACCCGUCUUGAAACACGGACCAAGGAGUCAAGGUUUUGCGCGAGUGUUUGGGUGUCAAACCCGCACGCGUAAUGAAAGUGAACGUAGGUGAGAGCUUCGGCGCAUCAUCGACCGAUCCUGAUGUAUUCGGAUGGAUUUGAGUAGGAGCGUUAAGCCUUGGACCCGAAAGAUGGUGAACUAUGCUUGGAUAGGGUGAAGCCAGAGGAAACUCUGGUGGAGGCUCGCAGCGGUUCUGACGUGCAAAUCGAUCGUCAAAUCUGAGCAUGGGGGCGAAAGACUAAUCGAACCAUCUAGUAGCUGGUUACCGCCGAAGUUUCCCUCAGGAUAGCAGUGUUGUUCUUCAGUUUUAUGAGGUAAAGCGAAUGAUUAGGGACUCGGGGGCGCUUUUUAGCCUUCAUCCAUUCUCAAACUUUAAAUAUGUAAGAAGCCCUUGUUACUUAGUUGAACGUGGGCAUUCGAAUGUACCAACACUAGUGGGCCAUUUUUGGUAAGCAGAACUGGCGAUGCGGGAUGAACCGAACGCGGGGUUAAGGUGCCGGAGUGGACGCUCAUCAGACACCACAAAAGGCGUUAGUACAUCUUGACAGCAGGACGGUGGCCAUGGAAGUCGGAAUCCGCUAAGGACUGUGUAACAACUCACCUGCCGAAUGUACUAGCCCUGAAAAUGGAUGGCGCUCAAGCGUCCCACCCAUACCCCGCCCUCAGGGUAGACACGAUGCCCUGAGGAGUAGGCGGCCGUGGAGGUCAGUGACGAAGCCUAGGGCGUGAGCCCGGGUCGAACGGCCUCUAGUGCAGAUCUUGGUGGUAGUA
rnacentral:rRNA from 1 species